rnacentral:rRNA from 1 species
GAUGAACGCUGGCGGCGUGCCUAAUACAUGCAAGUCGAGCGAACAGACGAGGAGCUUGCUCCUUUGACGUUAGCGGCGGACGGGUGAGUAACACGUGGGUAACCUACCUAUAAGACUGGGAUAACUUCGGGAAACCGGAGCUAAUACCGGAUAAUAUUUCGAACCGCAUGGUUCGAUAGUGAAAGAUGGCUCUGCUAUCACUUAUAGAUGGACCUGCGCCGUAUUAGCUAGUUGGUAAGGUAACGGCUUACCAAGGCAACGAUACGUAGCCGACCUGAGAGGGUGAUCGGCAGCCAGGGAACUGAGACAAGGUCCAGACUCCUACGGGAGGCAGCAGUAGGGAAUCUGCAGCAAUGGGCGAAAGCCUGACGGAGCAACGCCGCGUGAGUGAUGAAGGUCUUCGGAUCGUAAAACUCUGUUAUUAGGGAAGAACAAACGUGUAAGUAACUGUGCACGUCGUGACGGUACCUAAUCAGAAAGCCACGGCUAACUACGUG